CCUCUGUCCCAUUUUAGUUUUCGUGUUCAACUUUUAUCGUUCGUCUUAUUUAAAAAAUUUUUAUAAUUAGUAUUUUUGUUAUUAUGAGAUGAUAAAACAUGAACAAUACUUUACUCAUGAAUUAUGUUUUUUAAAUUUUCUCAAAAAAUUUUCAAAUAAUACGGACGAUCAAAGUUAGGCGGGAAAAAUCAUGAUUGCACUUAAA
rfam:Oryza glaberrima chromosome 1 Oglab01_0090_8, whole genome shotgun sequence.